AGAGUUCACGGCUAUAAGAGUGAUGCAGAUUCCCACGCAGAUGCACUCUUGUGUUCUCUUCCCUGGAAGUACCGUUCAAUAUAUGUAAAAGCAGACUGUCGAAAAGUUCUGGGAGUCGCUAAAACAGAAACGGUAAAAGAGAUACGGGAAACGAGGACAGUCGAUUUCGGGCACGAAGCGACGGCGAGACAAGGGGCGCUACGUACCGGUGCUGUACAGAUU